UGGAUGGAAAUAAAGCUGAAAUGUUGAUCUUUUGUCUUAUGUUCAUAUUUUAAUAUCAAACCCAAAUGUUUUCAGCCUACAGCAGAAAUAGAGGGAUUGACCUCAAUGUUCCAAUACUUUUGAAGGUCAGUGAUGGAGUUCUACAGAUCUGCUCUGGGGGUCCUGAUCUUAUCGAUCAUCAGUACUGGAUCUGAAUCAGCUGCUCCUGUAGUGAAGGUGGAGUAUAAAGGUUCUGCUGUUCUGCCCUGUACUGAUAAAUGUUCUGGAGUGGUCAGCUGGACUCCCUCUCAUGAUUUUUCUGAUAUUCUGGCUCAGUGUGAUCAGACUUCCUGCAGAUCAGUGAAGGAGGGAUAUCAGAUGAUCCAUGAUCAUUAUCUGCAGGGAGAUUUCUCUCUGAUCAUCCCUGAAGCUGAUUACAGGAAGAGAGGACAUUACACCUGUGACUGUGAU